rnacentral:rRNA from 1 species
UACGAAGGGUGCAAGCGUUAAUCGGAAUUACUGGGCGUAAAGCGCGCGUAGGUGGUUCAGCAAAUUGGAUGUGAAAACCCUGGGCUCAACCUGAGAACUGCAUCCAAAACUACUGAACUAGAGUACGGUAGAGGGUAGUGGAAUUUCCUGUGUAACGGUGAAAUGCGUAGAUAUAGGAAGGAACACCAAUGGCGAAAACGACUACCUGGACUGAUACUGACACUGAAAUACGAAAGCAUAAAGAACAAACAGGAUUAGAUACCCCAGUAGU